GAUGAACGCUGGCGGCGUGCCUAAUACAUGCAAGUCGAGCGAACAGACGAGGAGCUUGCUCCUCUGACGUUAGCGGCGGACGGGUGAGUAACACGUGGAUAACCUACCUAUAAGACUGGGAUAACUUCGGGAAACCGGAGCUAAUACCGGAUAAUAUAUUGAACCGCAUGGUUCAAUAGUGAAAGACGGUUUUGCUGUCCCUUAUAGAUGGAUCCGCGCCGCAUUAGCUAGUUGGUAAGGUAACGGCUUACCAAGGCAACGAUGCGUAGCCGACCUGAGAGGGUGAUCGGCCACACUGGAACUGAGACACGGUCAAGACUCCUACGGGAGGCAGCAGUAGGGAAUCUUCCGCAAUGGGCGAAAGCCUGACGGAGCAACGCCGCGUGAGUGAUGAAGGUCUUCGGAUCGUAAAACUCUGUUAUUAGGGAAGAACAAAUGUGUAAGUAACUAUGCACGUCUUGACGGUACCUAAUCAGAAAGCCACGGCUAACUACGUG
rnacentral:rRNA from 1 species